rnacentral:tRNA from 1 species
AGCUCAGUCGGUAGAGCAACAGACUUUUAAUCUGUGGGUCGUCGGUUCGAUCCCGACA